AACGGGUGAGUAAUGCAUCGGAACGUGCCCAGUCGUGGGGGAUAACUGCUCGAAAGAGCAGCUAAUACCGCAUACGACCUGAGGGUGAAAGCGGGGGACCGUAAGGCCUCGCGCGAUUGGAGCGGCCGAUGUCAGAUUAGCUAGUUGGUGGGGUAAAGGCCUACCAAGGCAACGAUCUGUAGUUGGUCUGAGAGGACGACCAGCCACACUGGGACUGAGACACGGCCCAGACUCCUACGGGAGGCAGCAGUGGGGAAUUUUGGACAAUGGGCGCAAGCCUGAUCCAGCCAUGCCGCGUGCGGGAAGAAGGCCUUCGGGUUGUAAACCGCUUUUGUCAGGGAAGAAAAGGCUCCUGUUAAUACCGGGGGCUCAUGACGGUACCUGAAGAAUAAGCACCGGCUAACUACGUGCCAGCAGCCGCGGUAAUACGUAGGGUGCAAGCGUUAAUCGGAAUUACUGGGCGUAAAGCGUGCGCAGGCGGUUAUGCAAGA
rnacentral:rRNA from 1 species